GAUGAACGCUGGCGGCGUGCCUAAUACAUGUAAGUCGAGCGAAUGGAUUAAGAGCUUGCUCUUAUGAAGUUAGCGGCGGACGGGUGAGUAACACGUGGGUAACCUGCCCAUAAGACUGGGAUAACUCCGGGAAACCGGGGCUAAUACCGGACAACAUUUUGAACCGCAUGGUUCGAAAUUGAAAGGCGGCUUCGGCUGUCACUUAUGGAUGGACCCGCGUCGCAUUAGCUAGUUGGUGAGGUAACGGCUCACCAAGGCAACGAUGCGUAGCCGACCUGAGAGGGUGAUCGGCCACACUGGGACCGAGACACGGCCCAGACUCCUACGGGAGGCAGCAGUAGGGAAUCUUCCGCAAUGGACGAAAGUCUGACGGAGCAACGCCGCGUGAGUGAUGAAGGCUUUCGGGUCGUAAAACUCUGUUGUUAGGGAAGAACAAGUGCUAGUUGAAUAAGCUGGCACCUUGACGGUACCUAACCAGAAAGCCACGGCUAACUACGUGCCAGCAGCCGCCGUAA
rnacentral:rRNA from 1 species